rnacentral:tRNA from 1 species
UUACUGUUGUUCAUGUUUCAAACUCAAUCUCCAGAAAAGGAACUUAUUCAAAAUCAAUUUAUUUCAUUGAUGUUAUGCAAUUUGAAACUUAUCAAAUUAAUAAAACAAAGCCCUGAGUUGUAAGAGUUGUGUUAUAUUGUGUUACUGUUCAAAUAUUUGGUGACCCUCCCAGUGGGCGAGUUCUAGAACACCAUACCACUCAGAUCAGAUUUGCCACGUGACUUGCAGUGCCCCUCCCUUUGGAAGGAUUGUACAUCCCAGUGUGUGACAUGCUUUUUAGCCAAUGACAUGGGUGGAAAUGAUGAACAUUGCUUCUGCGUGGAAGCUUUGAGAGCCAGCAGGGUUAUUACUUUGAUCUCUCUUCUUUCAGUCAAUGAGAUAUAUCAGACAGAGGCUGCUCCGCUAGCUCAGGUUCAUCAGUUUGGGUCCAGAGGGAUGAUGACAUGGAACGGAACCACAGCUGACCCAUAAUGGACAUUAAGCCACUUCUUCCAUCUAGACUGUGGUACUCUGGAGGCCUGCAGAUAAGUUCCUUUGGUUCUAGAGACGAACUUUUAGUCUACCCUCAUUUCUUACCAUUUCUUGGGCGGCCACUCCAGCACUGGGAGUUCUGUGCAUGUAAAUCCUGUAAGUACAUCAUUUCAUUUACUUCGCACAGCAUUUCUGUGGUAUUAGCUCCAUUUUAAAGAUGAAGAAUUUGCUGGGGCGUAGGAGGGGUAGGCCUGUUCCGAUGGUCACGGGUGGUGAGGGGGCAGAGCCGGGAUUCAGAGCAGGGCUGUGUGAGUUUAGAGUGGUAGUUCUCAGUGGGGGGUGGAGGGUAUUGGACAGUGUCUGCAGGCAUUUUUGAUUCACACCUGAGAGGGUGUGCUGCAGGCACCUAUUGGGUAGAGAACAGGGAUGCUGCUCAACAGCCUACAAUACACGGGACUGCUCCCCACGGCAAACAGUUGUCUGGCCCAGAGUGUCGCUCGCACCCAGGUUGAGAAGCCCUGCUUGACCUCAGUCUGUGUAACUCCAGAGCUCACAGUCAGCGCUUCUCUAGUUCUUCAAAUGUGAUGUUGGUUCUAUUUAGGGUACCGCCUCCUCAUUUUCAGAAAGAGCAGGGGGUGGGGAGGAUUUGAGAACUUGAAGAGAUUUCCCUUGAUUAAGGGACAUAUUCAUUCAUUUGAAAGAUUGACCAAAAAAUUUCUGAUAACAGAAUCUCCCCCCACUCUUUUUUAAAAUAUUUAUUUAUUUGACUGUGCCGGGUCUUAGUUGAGGCACUUGGGAUCUAGUUCCCUGACCAGGAAUCGAACCUGGGCCCUCUGCAUUGGGAGUGUGGAGUCUUAGCCACUGGACCACCAGGGAAAUCCCUCCCCCCCUUUUUUUUUCCGAAGGCAAAAGUGUCAGAACUUGAGAGUCACUCAGAGCCCUUGAAGUAGACAUAGGGAAUUUGGUUUCUGUAUUAUUCCACUUGUCAACAAACAUUUUCUGAGUAGCCCGUCAGUUGCUGAUACAAAGGUGCUGGUGAUAUGAAGGGCAGUGGGGAGUCCCCACCUCCCUGAAG